rnacentral:rRNA from 1 species
UACGUAGGGUGCAAGCGUUAAUCGGAAUUACUGGGCGUAAAGCGUGCGCAGGCGGUUGUGCAAGACAGAUGUGAAAUCCCCGGGCUCAACCUGGGAACUGCAUUUGUGACUGCACGGCUGGAGUGCGGCAGAGGGGGAUGGAAUUCCGCGUGUAGCAGUGAAAUGCGUAGAUAUGCGGAGGAACACCGACGGCGAAGGCAAUCCCCUGGGCCUGCACUGACGCUCAUGCACGAAAGCGUGGGGAGCAAACAGG